GUGGCAAGUAUCAGUAGUGGAGGGGACAGGGGUGUGGGGGAGCACCUAAAUUAUAAGGCGGAGAGCAAGGUGCGCAUUAUUGCCUCUGACUUCAGCAGGAGCGCACACACUGCCAGAGCGCUCUACACCUGACAAUCUGAUCCACACUGCUGCUGUCCUGCACACCAUGAAGGUACAGUUCCCGCGUGUCUGCUGCCUCCUGCUGCUGCUGAUGCUACUGCCGGCGGUCCUGGCCACUGCGGUAAGGCCAACAGCUCUUCCUGGUGGUCCUACCUGUAAACCUCCAUGCUUUACAUAUGACAGUUACCAGCGGAGGUGUGUGUACUCCUGCGGGUCGGACCCAGCCGCAGUGAUUAACCCGUGAGGCCCCGCAACCAAUCACUGGAUAAUAUAUUUGUGACCCACACCCAAUCAAUGGAUAAUAUAUGUGUGACCCGCACCCAAUCACUGGAUAAUACAUUUGUUACCAGCACCAAAUCACUGGAUAAUGCAUUUGUGACCCGCAGACAAUCAGCGGGUAAUAUGUGUGUGACCUGAAGCAGUCAUUACUACUAACAGCGGACGUCACCAACCACAGCAGAUGUCACCACAAACAGCUGUCGUCACCAAGAACAGCUGACGUCACUACAACCAGCAGACAUCAACGCCAACACUAAAAGCAGACAUCACCACCAACAGCAUUUGUCGUCACUUACACAUACGUCAUCACUAGCAGCAGACCUCACCACCAACAGCAGAGUUCGGGUGUAUAAGUAUAUUGGUGAACAGUGGCGGGGGGACCGGGAGGGGAGUAUACUCUUAGAUGGAGAAUAUUGUAUUCGUUUGUAUGUUAUUGCCUCUGCAGGAAAUUGUGGAGAAACUUACAACAAUGCCGUAGUGCUUGAAUGUAGGAGAUUAAGGACCAAUUAUAUGUAUAAGUGUAUUAAAGACUAAAUUUUUGGAUGUAACCUUCAACCUUUCUCAAGGUGAGUGAGUGUGGGUGCACUGUAUACAAUGUAGUGAGUGCACUGUGUACAAUGUUGUGGGUCCACUGUAUACAAUGUUGUGGGUGCACUGUAUACAAUGUUGUGGGUGCACUGUAUACAAUGUUGUGGGUGCACUGUAUACAAUGUUGUGAGUGCACUGUAUACAAUGUUGUGAAUGCACUAUAUACAAUGUUGUGAGUGCACUGUAUACAGUGAACAUUGUAUACAGCACCUUGAGUGAGAAUGUAAGUUACAUCCCCAAUUAUGUUUUAACUACAUAUAGGAUCAUUCCCUCCAAUAUAUUGUAUUAUGGAAUUAUUGCCUCUACAAGGUAUUGUAUUAUAUUAUUGCAUCUAUACUUGAUAUUAUUUUAUGGUAUUAUUGGCAAUAUACAAGGUAUUUUAUUAUAUUAUUGCCUCUUUUCAAGGUAUUGUAUUGUGGUAUUAUUGCCUCUGUACAAGGUAUCGUAUUAUUGAAUUAUUGCCGUUUUAACUUGUGUAAAAAUUUUAUGUUCAUCAACUUUACAAGUAAAGAAUAAGAAGGAAGCAA